rnacentral:tRNA from 1 species
CACGGUGGUCUAGCGGUUAGAACGCUGGCCUUGUAAUCCUGGGGUCUCGGGUUCGAUUCCCGGCAGUG